UACGGGGGAGCAAGCGUUGUUCGGAUUUACUGGGCGUAAAGGGCGCGUAGGCGGCCACCGCAAGUCGACUGUGAAAUCUCCGGGCUUAACCCGGAAAGGUCAGCCUGAUACUGCGGGGCUAGAGUGCAGAAGGGGCAACUGGAAUUCUCGGUGUAGCGGUGAAAUGCGUAGAUAUCGAGAGGAACACCUGCGGCGAAGGCGGGUUGCUGGGCUGACACUGACGCUGAGGCGCGAAAGCUAGGGGAGCGAACGGG
rnacentral:rRNA from 1 species